rnacentral:rRNA from 1 species
CCAGACUCCUACGGGAGGCAGCAGUGGGGGAUAUUGCACAAUGGGGGGAACCCUGAUGCAGCGACGCCGCGUGGGUGAAGAAGCGCCUCGGCGCGUAAAGCCCUGUCAGCAGGGAAGAAAAUGACGGUACCUGAAGAAGAAGCCCCGGCUAACUACGUGCCAGCAGCCGCGGUAAUACGUAGGGGGCAAGCGUUAUCCGGAUUUACUGGGUGUAAAGGGAGCGUAGGCGGUUUAGCAAGUCAGAAGUGAAAGCCCGGGGCUCAACUCCGGGACUGCUUUUGAAACUGUUGAACUAGAUUGCAGGAGAGGUAAGUGGAAUUCCUAGUGUAGCGGUGAAAUGCGUAGAUAUUAGGAGGAACACCAGUGGCGAAGGCGGCCUGCUGGACGAUGACUGACGUUGAGGCUCGAAAGCGUGGGGAGCAAACAGGAUUAGAUACCCUCGUA